rnacentral:lncRNA from 1 species
AAUUAAGAAGAGUGACACACAUUGUUCAAUUAUAUAUUAGUAAAAAAAUAAAAAAUAAUAAAUUGAAAUUUAAUAGUAGAAAAUUAAUUUGAACAAAUACAUCUAUGCAAUUUAAGUUCUGAAAAAAUAAAAAAUAUUUUAUAAAAUAAUUUGAAGACAAUUUAAAAUAAAAAAUUAUAAAUAAAAAACACUUAAAAAAAUUAAAUCAAUCAAUCAAUCAAUCUU